rnacentral:rRNA from 1 species
GACGAACGCUGGCGGCGUGCUUAACACAUGCAAGUCGAACGGAAAGGCCCUGCUUUUGUGGGGUGCUCGAGUGGCGAACGGGUGAGUAACACGUGAGUAACCUGCCCUUGACUUUGGGAUAACUUCAGGAAACUGGGGCUAAUACCGGAUAGGAGCUCCUGCUGCAUGGUGGGGGUUGGAAAGUUUCGGCGGUUGGGGAUGGACUCGCGGCUUAUCAGCUUGUUGGUGGGGUAGUGGCUUACCAAGGCUUUGACGGGUAGCCGGCCUGAGAGGGUGACCGGCCACAUUGGGACUGAGAUACGGCCCAGACGCCGACGGGAGGCAGCAGUGGGGAAUAUUGCACAAUGGGCGGAAGCCUGAUGCAGCAACGCCGCGUGCGGGAUGACGGCCUUCGGGUUGUAAACCGAUUUCGCCUGUGACGAAGCGUGAGUGACGGUAAUGGGUAAAGAAGCACCGGCUAACUACGUG